UUUACCACCAAUUAAGAUGGAUUAGUUACAUAUGAAACUCAGAGAAACAGAGGUGAACAUGUAAACUGAAUGAAAACACUUAAACAACUGAUUCUUUGAAUUUCAGGAAGAAUAAAACAAGACAUUAAUGAGAUUGGUAAGGUACUAACACCCACAACAUAAGAUCCAUGGGCAAUAGAAAUAUUAUAGACGGUAUUAAACUAUUCCAGGUACCAUAAAAUAGAAAUAGGAGUCAUUUCUUACCGCAAACCAGCUACAGUAGCUCAUAAGUUCAUCCGUAUCAAGAAACUUGCUUCUAAAUGCACUACCUUCCAAGGCCACAGGAACAAGUUUAAGUUCUAUAGGCCGCAGAAGAGCAGUCUUCUCAGCAACUUAAAGAAAUAGAAGGACCAUGAUUUAAGAGCAUAUUGGCAGACACAACUUAAGUUUAAAAAAAAAACCAUUAACAACAACAACUUGAAUGGUGUUGAGUCGAGUUUGAGCUAUUGAGCAGAUCAAAUUCGAGUACUUUAAUGCUUGAUUAGAGUAUCACACGAGUUUGAUUGAGGUCUUUUUACCUUUUAACUAUACUGGAAAAUCUCAUUCAAACUGGAGCUUAAGCUCGGGAAUAAAUAAUAAAAUUGAAAACCGACCUGAACCGAGAUAUUUGGACAGUAUAGAAUGCAAGUUCAAAAACCAUGGUUACACAAAACCAAACCAAGUUCAGAAACAACCAGCAUAUAAGCAAAUCAACUAAAUCUUGCAUUGCAAUAAAGCAUGUUUUCUAUUUAACAAAGAAGAUUAAGUUAAUAUGUCACAGAAACUUACUUCAAGAUGUAAGAUUACUACUAGAAGCUUACAUGGCAAUUUGCUAACUAGAAUGCGAGCUUUCUCUGUACGUUUCAGAUUUUUGUGCACUCCUCUUCCUGCACUAUACCGGUUCUAAUCCUGUAUAAAAGAAAAAUAAUAAAAAUAAAAUUGCAUAUAAGAAAAAUGAAAUUAUAGCUCCAAAGUCCAAAAUAGACAUCAAUAAUUU
rnacentral:lncRNA from 1 species